CUGCGGAGGGCAAGUCUGGUGCCAGCAGCCGCGGUAAUUCCAGCUCCAAUAGCGUAUAUUAAAGUUGUUGCAGUUAAAAAGCUCGUAGUUGAACCUUGGGCCUGGCUGGCCGGUCCGCCUCACCGCGUGCACUGGUUCGGCCGGGCCUUUCCCUCUGGGGAACCUCAUGGUCUUCACUGAUCGUGAUGGGGAACCAGGACUUUUACUGUGAAAAAAUUAGAGUGUUCAAAGCAGGCCUAUGCUCGAAUACAUUAGCAUGGAAUAAUAAAAUAGGACGUGUGGUUCUAUUUUGUUGGUUUCUAGGACCGCCGUAAUGAUUAAUAGGGACAGUCGGGGGCAUCAGUAUUCAAUUGUCAGAGGUGAAAUUCUUGGAUUUAUUGAAGACUAACUACUGCGAAAGCAUUUGCCAAGGAUGUUUUCAUUAAUCAGGAACGAAAGUUAGGGGAUCGAAGACGAUCAGAUACCGUCGUAGUCUUAACCAUAAACUAUGCCGACUAGGGAUCGGACGGUGUUACUUAUUGACCCGUUCGGCACCUUACGAGAAAUCAAAGUCUUUGGGUUCUGGGGGGAGUAUGGGCGGCUAAAAGGUGAACUCAUUGAAUUG
rnacentral:rRNA from 1 species